AAUGAACGCUGGCGGCGUGCUUAACACAUGCAAGUCGGAUGUGCCUUUCGGGGUGCAUGGCAGACGGGUGAGUAACGCGUGGGGAACCUACCUUUUUGUGGGGAAUAACGUUUCGAAAGGGGCGAUAAUACCGCAUGAGAUCAUGAGCUGGGAUGCGCAUGAUGAAAGCCAGGGCAACCUGGCGCAAGAAGAGGGUCCUGCGUCUGAUUAGCUAGUUGGUGAGGUAGAGGCUCACCAAGGCAACGAUCAGUAGCCGGCCUGAGAGGGUGAUCGGCCACACUGGAACUGAGACACGGUCCAGACUCCUACGGGAGGCAGCAGUGGGGAAUUUUGCGCAAUGGGCGAAAGCCUGACGCAGCAACGCCGCGUGGGUGAUGAAGGUCUUCGGAUUGUAAAGCCCUGUCGUCAGGGAAGAAGGUGCAGGACAGGAAAUGGUUUUGCGCUUGACGGUACCUGGAGAGGAAGCCCCGGCUAACUCUGUG
rnacentral:rRNA from 1 species